rnacentral:rRNA from 1 species
UCCGGGAACUCUGGGGGAACUGCCGGCCUAAGCCGGAGAGGAAGGCGGGGAUGACGUCAAAUCAUCACGGCCCUUACGGCCAGGGCUACCCACGUGUUACAAUGGCCGGNACANAGGG